UAGGGAAUCUUCGGCAAUGGGGGGAACCCUGACCGAGCAACGCCGCGUGAGUGAAGAAGGUUUUCGGAUCGUAAAGCUCUGUUGUUAAGGAAGAACGAGUGUGAGAAUGGAAAGUUCAUGCUGUGACGGUACUUAACCAGAAAGGGACGGCUAACUACGUGCCAGCAGCCGCGGUAAUACGUAGGUCCCGAGCGUUGUCCGGAUUUAUUGGGCGUAAAGCGAGCGCAGGCGGUUUUUUAAGUCAGGUGUCAAAGCGUGGAGCUUAACUCCAUUAAGCACUUGAAACUGAAAGACUUGAGUGAAGGAGAGGAAAGUGGAAUUCCUAGUGUAGCGGUGAAAUGCGUAGAUAUUAGGAGGAAUACCGGUGGCGAAGGCGACUUUCUGGACUUUUACUGACGCUCAGGUACGAAAGCGUGGGGAGCAAACAGG
rnacentral:rRNA from 1 species